rnacentral:rRNA from 1 species
UACGUAGGGUGCGAGCGUUAAUCGGAAUUACUGGGCGUAAAGCGUGCGCAGGCGGUUUGCUAAGACCGAUGUGAAAUCCCCGGGCUCAACCUGGGAACUGCAUUGGUGACUGGCAAGCUAGAGUAUGGCAGAGGGGGGUAGAAUUCCACGUGUAGCAGUGAAAUGCGUAGAGAUGUGGAGGAAUACCGAUGGCGAAGGCGGCUCACUGGACUGGUACUGACGCUGAGGAGCGAAAGUGUGGGGAGCGAACAGG